UGGCUCUGGCAUCGAUGAAGAACGCAGCGAAAUGCGAUAAGUAAUGCGAAUUGCAGAUCUCAGUGAGUCAUCGAAUCUUUGAACGCACAUUGCGCCCUCCAGCAUCCUGGAGGGCAUGCCUGUUCGAGCGUCACUACAACCCUCAAGCCCUGCUUGGCGUUGGGGCUAUACGGCGAGAACCUUCUCGCCGUAGGCUCUCAAAACUAGUUGGCGGGACCGCUAGGAGGCCCGGGCGAAGUAACCACUACAGCGCCUAGGGAAUCCGAGCCAGGCUCCAGCCACGAACCAGAGGCUGCCCCCCCUGCGGGCGCCUCGCUCCCAACGUGUUGACCUCGGAUCAGGUAGGAAUACCCGCUGA
rnacentral:misc_RNA from 1 species